ACGCUCGACACCUACGGAAGCAGCAGUCGGGAAUAUUGCGCAAUGGAGGAAACUCUGACGCAGUGACGCCGCGUAUAGGAAGAAGGUUUUCGGAUUGUAAACUAUUGUCGUUAGGGAAGAAAAAGGACAGUACCUAAGGAGGAAGCUCCGGCUAACUACGUGCCAGCAGCCGUGGUAAUCUGAGCGGGCUGGCAAGGC
rnacentral:rRNA from 1 species